GCACCCAGGGUACGUGGUUUAGAUCAAGAUUUGCUCUGUGAACUUAACCCUACUAAGGGCUGAAAGAAACAGGGUAACUAGUUAAUAAUCUAAAGACUUUAUUAAAGCUUUGUCCUCUGGACACAGCCAGGAACCAGCACUCUUGUUUGUAUCUUCCCAGCUCUCCAACUAUGCACCCGUAGUGUCUGAGGUCUGGCCUUUCCAGGUAAAGAUGACAAGUGCCAUUGGUCAAUUGAAUAAAAUGUAGGACACAGGAAACUUAUAUUGAAAAAUGUAUUUUAAGUAAUUCAUACAGGAGGCAUUCUGAAGCAUUUUAUAUAUGCGUUUGUGUCUUAGAAAACAGUAGGUAGAAGAAACAGGGAAGCAUAGAUUCCUAGGUAAGUAUUCAGGGGUCCCUGAUCCAGACAGGGAUUCUUACUCGAACCUCAUUCGUCUUGGUCUAAGAUACAAUAUUCACCUUAGGUCCUUCAUUAGAAAUAUACAUCUUUGCCAGGAACCCAUGGCU